rnacentral:rRNA from 1 species
GAUGAACGCUGGCGGCGUGCCUAAUACAUGCAAGUCGAGCGAACAGACGAGGAGCUUGCUCCUCUGACGUUAGCGGCGGACGGGUGAGUAACACGUUGAUAACCUACCUAUAAGACUGGGAUAACUUCGGGAAACCGGAGCUAAUACCGGAUAAUAUAUUGAACCGCAUGGUUCAAUAGUGAAAGACGGUUUUGCUGUCACUUAUAGAUGGAUCCGCGCCGCAUUAGCUAGUUGGUAAGGUAACGGCUUACCAAGGCAACGAUGCGUAGCCGACCUGAGAGGGUGAUAGGCCACACUGGAACUGAGACACGAUCAAGACUCCUACGGGAGGCAGCAGUAGGGAAUCUUCCGCAAUGGGCGAAAGCCUGACGGAGCAACGCCGCGUGAGUGAUGAAGGUCUUCGGAUCGUAAAACUCUGUUAUUAGGGAAGAACAAAUGUGUAAGUAACUAUGCACGUCUUGACGGUACCUAAUCAGAAAGCCACGGCUAACUACGUG